rnacentral:lncRNA from 1 species
CCACACGAAGCAACAAGGUGUUUGGGCUACGCCUAGAACAGGCGAUGACCAGAACAUCUUAUGCACUGGGCGACCUACAGCCACAUUCAGUACUAAGCCCUUACCCUUGGCCUCAACUAGGAAACGGGGCAAACUGGACCAUACAAGACUGGUGAGGUGCACCCAUCCAACACGACAGCAACUGCGCAACAACUGCGUUCAUGAAGCCUUGAAAGGUCUGUAUCGAUCGCGUUGGGACACGCCCUCAUAAUCAAAACAAGCCGGGCGUGUAACAGUGACGCCCCAUGCUGGCCCAUGCCCACACCCAAGCCCACGGAGACAAGGCCGCAGUGUAUCGGACGUCUUGCAAUGACCACUGUCGGUACCAUAUGCGGUAUAUCCUGACGACAGUCAUACUGGCAUGCGUGCCCAACUGAGUUACUAAACGCGAUGAUGGUGCACGACUAUGAAAUGCGUUUUGUCGAAACCGGAACGCAGCUCUGCAUGAUGCGGACGGUUCGGUCACGCAUGGAUUCGGCUGGAUUAGUGGCAGUGACGUCCGGAUUAGUGAUGGCGGGUGAUUGGGAGUGUGCGCUGCAACGUGUGGGUGCUGCAGAGUCUGCUGGAGGACAGGUUGAUCCUGUCCUCCAUCCCCAGCCGUUCGGCCUAGGUCCGUGAUGUGCGGACCUAGAUUGACGUGUGUUGCGGAACUAAUGCGUACGUAGACCAGAGCGGAAGGCGGAGUGGGUUGAUUCUUUCUUCUAUGGCGGCCAGCACGUCGCCUGCCGCGCACUGACCAGAAUCUCCUGCGCCUUGCCGCGCCCUGUUCUUGCCCCGGCUUGCCACACUGUCGCCCGGCCAUUGCUUCGCUGCGCACUACUCGCAUACAUUGGUUAUCACGUCGUCGGCGCUCAUCCGUGGACGUCGGUCGCCUGAUGGCCAGGUGCACUACAACUCUGUGUCGCGCGUGGCACAAUGUCUGCGUGGUCGGGCGCCCUGAGCGUGAGGAUUGCGUGUCAGCAAUAUCUAUGAGCCAGCCACUCUUGCCCUGACUCGUCUUGUAGGAUUUGUGGGCCGGGAUUCUUGUCAUCACACUGCGGGACACCGCUUCUCACCACACUCUACUCUUGAUUUUACUAGGAAUUCAACGUCGCCUGACGCGCAUCCACAGAAGUAUGUCAUUGAAAUGCGGUAAAUCGGUGGGUCUUUUGACCCCUGUGAGGCCCGGGUUUGGACAGGUCCCUGCCCACUGGGUAUGCCCCUGGGUUUGGAUGCCCGCGUCAGGGGGUGGUAGAAUCUUCCAAAACAGACCCCAUGCUUCAAAUGGAUAGAGUUCAACUUGAAAAUCACGAAUCCGCUUUCAAAAGCGGAAAUGGGUUUCUGCGUGCAAAGUUAUGACCCCUCAAAGUUGCCGGUCGCUCGGUCGUUCGGUCUGGGUAAAAGGGUGAUCGAACAAUCACAAAGUUGGGGCGGGCUCAUCUUAGGCCCACCAGGGGAUGGGGGGGGGCGGGGGGGGGGGGUAGGAACAAACUUUUUUGACCCCAUGCCACAAAAACUCCCGGACCCCCCGACCGACCGACCGACCGACCCCCCCUGCCGUACGACCCCCCAAAAAACCCCUCAGAACCCCUUAGGUUUUUUGUCAGGUUGGUGCCAAUUGACUGCUCUCGGUGAGCUCUAUCGCUAGGUACAAUGAUCCGCCUUGGGAACACACUUUGACCGACCGACAUGUGGACGUGUCGACAUGUCCACCCGUCUGCCGACAAGUAUCCUGAUAGAGUGGCCUGCUAUACAACGGCUUACUCCAAUGUUACUUGAUAGUACGAAAUGUGCUGACACGUUCAUCCAUGCAAAACCCGGCCGGCACCGGCCAGUUCCCCAGGCGUCUCCCGAAAUGCCGACAUGCCGCUCCCCACACUGCCCCAAACUAUGCACGUGUGCUGGGUCUGGGGUAUAUCUACGCACGCAUUGUUGAGCUGCACCCUUUGCGCCGCGUGCUGCAGAACGGAAGCGCUAGGAACAAAACUUCGCACGAACCUGUGCAAAACCUCUUGGGACCCCCGACUGCUGACCGACCGACCGGCCACUUUGAGGGUCAUAACUUUGGCCCUUCUUCCCGCUGGCUGGGCUGCCGCCGCGCGUGCGGCCCAGCUGGCUCGGGGGCCUGCCGCCGCGCUGCCGCUCCCGGUGGCCGACGUCGUGAGUGCUAUGGCGGAGUCGGUGCAACAGGUGGUGCGGGGGCUUGGAUGGCUGCAGUGCGAGAGGCCGCCCAUCAUGCUCACUGCCUACACGGUGAAGGCGGGGACCGUGCUGCAAAUGGCUCCACAGUUAGCCGCCCUGAAGGCUAAGCAUUUGCAAUAUGUGUGCGAUGCGGGUGUGUCGGGGGUGGGGGCUGCCCUGGAUGGCGGCGGGGGCCUUCGUGUGCACCUUGGCCCGCUUGUGGUCGCUGAAAUGGGAGAAUCAUCAUAAGGAAGCACUGUGGCGUGUGGCCGCCAACGCUUGCUGGGCGUUUCCACGACAUGCUAGCGAGCGGGCGCGAGGCGUUGCUGUUGACCCGUGUUGGGCGUGUGGGAUUGACAUGCAGGAUAAGGACCGGCGUCACUGGUUUUGGGACUGCACUGUUGCGUUGUCGCUGCGGGAAUGUAUGGGGAUGGCUAUGGGUUUCCUGCCGGAGGAGGCUCUAAAUGCCUUCUCUCGUGAUGACGAGUUGUGGUUAGUGCGCCCGCCUGCGGGGCUUGCGCCACCUGUGUGGGAUGUGGUGUGUCUCGCUGCUAUGUCUGCCCUGGACUUUGGUCGGCAGCGUGUGGUUAUGGCCGGGUUGGCGGCGCGAGCGAAGCUGCCGUCGGCCCGGGUGCUGAGCAUUGGACUUGCCGUCGUAGCUGACUUCUGGGGUCGUCUCCAGACGUUUGUGACUUUGGGUAUCAGGCCAAAGGGUUGGGACGCUGUGCCGUUUGCGCAUCCUUUCAUAUCUCGGGCUGUUGGUGACGGCAUGGUUUUGCGCUUGCCGUAUGACGCUGAUUCCCGGCCUCCCUCGCCGUGAGAGGUUGUGCGUGGUUGGUGGCUUUGUGUGUGGGCAGGAUGCACGUGUGGGCGACCGUUCUAGUACCUGGACGCUUGCGCCCUGGUUAGUGCGUGCGCUGUGCUGCGUGUGUCCUGCGGCCUAGACGUUCCGCGGCACUCCUGUGCCUAGGCUUGUGACGUUGAGGCACAGCGGUGGGGCUCUGGCGGGUUGAGGCUUGGCUAGGACUCACUGUGCGCGGAGUCACACGGACUUUGCCCGCGGGAGGGUUUGCAGCAAAGUCGGGGUUGGUGGAGUCAAGUUGGGCCCUGAUAGCAUGUGAUGGCUCGGCGUCUUCGGGUGCUGGGACUGUCCCCUCUGCUGUAACAUCCGCAUUCAUAACUUUGCACCCAGAAACCCAUUUUCGAUUUGUGAUUUUCGUGAUUUUCUCGUUGAGCUCUAUCCAUUUGAAGCAUGGGGUCUGUUUUGGAAGAUUCUACCCCCCCUGGGCCCACAAGGUUUUGCACAGGUUCGUGCCAAGCUUUGUUCUUAGCGCUUCUGUCCUGCAGCACGCGGCGCAAUGGGUGCAGCUCAACGAUGCGUGCGUAGAUAUACCCCAGAGUCAGCACACGUGCAUACUUUGGUUUGGGGCAGUUUGGGGAGCGGCAUGUCGGCAUUUCGGGAGCUGCCUGGGGAACUGGUCAGGGACAGGCCAGUGCCGGACGGAUUUUGCGUGGAUGAACGUGUCAGCACAUUUCGUACUAUCAAAUAACAUUGGAGGAAGCCGUUGCAAAGCAGGCCAGUCUACCGGGAUGCUUGUCGGCAGACGGGUGGAGAUGCCCACAUGUCGGUCGGUGAACGUGUGUUCCCAAGGCGGACAAUUUUACAUAGCGAAAGAGCUCACCGAGGCAGGGGGGGUCGGUUGGUCGGUCGGCCGGGGGCGGGGUCCGAGAGUUGUCAUCUUUUUCAUCGUUUUCAUCUUGCAAAUUAGGAGUUUAUUGAGCCACUGCCCGGACUAUAGGGCGGUACAGACAAUGGCAAAAAGUGUAGGCUCAAAAAAGUUUGUUCCUAACCCCCCCUGCCCGCAUGCAACUUCGUGGUGUGGCAGUUGACAGGCCUCAACAGAGUUUCUCAGACCCGCCCCGUUGACUGCCUCUGCCAAUUUUUGUAUUGAAUGCAUGACCACAAGAUAAAUUGUACCAUAGACGGCCGCGGCGAGGCAAUUUAACAUGCAGACUUCCGCCCGCGUUUGCCGAUCGCGAAGAUCCCACCAAAAGGCAUUAAUACUCUUAUGCCCAGUCGCGUUGGCCCAGAAAACAACAGAGAAAGCAAGCUGUCAAAAAUGUGGCGCCCGACGCUGUUCUUCCUCGUUGCGCUACUCACGUCCGCCAGCGCAAGCGGCCCGGUCAAGUGCGUGAAGAAGGCCAUUCAGCCAGUCAUUCAGCCUGGCUUUGGAUGGCACGUCACGGUGCCGGUAAGCGCUACGUAGGGCUGGUUGGGCUGGGCGGGCCUCGCUGCAUGCUGACGGCGGGUCUCGCGGCCAGCCUGCUGUCGCUGUGGGCAGGUUUGUGCAUGCGUCCGUCACAUGAUACCAUAGGCAUGGCGACUCGUCAGCGCAAUCCUCAGUGAAGAGAGUGCGCGGUUUGGCGCGCUCCGCGCAUUUGCUCGCUGCACUGGGAAGCGAGCUACGUUGUGCGCUCCGCCGAGACCGUCACCUGAAACAAUAGGCCCCCAUCAUUUGUACCACUUGUACCAGUUGUCACAUACCUAGCGGGCUGCCGGCGCCCUGUCCGCCUGCGUUUCAGCUUUUCCCAUCCUGAUGUUUUGCGGCCACAACGCUAGCGUACCCUUGUGAUGAACGCCCUUUGCUGCAUCAGAAGACGACUUCGACGCCUGACGGUUCGGCCCCUGACCCCGCCCACAGGACAGCUUCCACGUGGAGGCUUUCUCAAUGCACCAAGCCAACGGGGACAAUGGGCCGGAGUUUGCGCACCUGACCAUCCUGCCCGGCAAAGGCUUUCCUCCGCACAAGCACCUGGACGGCUGGGAGACCAUUUACAUCCUCAAGGGUGAGCUUGGGCGCCAGGAGCAAGGGUGUUGGGCAGGGGUGUUGAUUGGGCCUGGUCAACUCUGAACGUGGCGUCAGUGGCGUGCUGUGUACCGCGCCACGUGGGGCGGUAGCGCAAGUGAGCAGGGCUUUUUAUCUUGCUGUUGCUGGGCUAGUUCCUGAUUCAGACAUGGCGGCAAGAUGGCCAUUGCAAGGGACCAUGAGAAACAAGGCACCGUGUCCGGUUCCUGGCGGGCACAGGGGCCCCGUCGCGGUCUGCAGGCUUCGGCAGUACACGGACUGGCCAGGCGGGCACGUGUCAAAUUGAACGCCGCAGCCCUGCGCACAACGGCACAAGGGCCCUGAUUGUCGCUGCCGGUCCCCUGUGCCAUGUCCUCAACAUUCUAUGCCGCAGGCGAGGUUGAUUAUGGAUACUGGGGCCCCAACGACCCCAAGCCCACCACCGUCAAGCUCGGACCGGGCGCCGUUACGCACACGCCUCAGGACCACUUCCAUAAGGUGCGUGGGUGCCAGGCAGGGGCGCCCCUGCCUGAUGGUGCUUGGUAGACGAGCACAGCUCAUGCAACCCUGGCCUGGGGUAUAGUCAGGCCAUACAGACAUGGCUUCCCGCCACCCGUCCCAUCGCCCAACCUCGCUCAACAACGUCACCUGACUGCAGGUGUGAAAAGCGAGCUUCUUCGCGCGUCGUGUGGCUGCGUGGCGUCAUGGUGUGCGUGUGGUGCUGUUGCUUGGCUGGGCGCCCGGAGCGUAAGGAUAGCGCAUCAGAAAAAUACUCAACCAGUCUGACGGCCCGUUAUGCAGCCUUUCGUCGCUGGCUACGCCACCGGUGCCAUACUGUGCAUUCACACUAGCAAGCAUUUCUCUGAGCUGUGCAUAAAUGCCUUCGCAGUCAGCGUCACUUUCACUGGGUAAUUGCUUGUCCUGCUUGUCGCACUCCUGCCCACUUCACCUCACCGCCUAAUCCAUCACGCACGCUCACCAACAGGUCUGGAACAGCAGCCCCGAGCCCAUCUCGAUGAUCGUCACAAGCAACCAGUUCACCAGGUGAUCAAGGGUAGCGCAGCUUAGCUGUCUUGUAGCCAAUGCAAUCUCUCAGUUACCGUACACAUGUUUCCUUCCCUCGUGCCGUACUCACUCCGCCGCUGCUCCUCCCAUACAUGCCGCGCUGCAGGUUCAUGUUCUUUGAGGUGGGUAAGGCGGUGCCGACUUGUAGCCAGACAUUGGGUAAAUGUGGCCUCAGUUUGGUACCGCUGGAAAUGAGCCACGACGCCAAGCACGUAGCAUAAGUGCGCAGUCGUUGCAGGUGGCAUGCCCAGUAGCACGAGGGCCCGAGAGGACCUUCGAACAUAUAGGACGCACGCGCUGACAUGGUGUUUUGCCCUGCCCGUUACCAUGUACCUGGCUACGCACAGGACUGGCCUGAGAGCUUCAACGCAACCGGUCACGUGCCCGAGGCCAUGCCAUGGUGCGUAAACUCGGCAGGCAUCGCCAGUAGGGAGGUUAUUGGAGCGUUUGGUUUGGGGGUGAUGGUUGGAUGAUGGGAGCGGGUGGCACCGUGCCUCAUGCCAGCUGCAGUUGUGCAUGUACCCACCCGCACACGCGCCCGACUGACGGACUGUGACAACUUGCCUGUCGCAACCCAACAGGGAGACCCAGUGCCCUCCCGGCCAGGAGCUUGCGAGCGGCAAGGAGGAGCUGUAAAUAGCGACGGGAUGUGUGUAGGUUGGGACAGCUGGUGCUAUGUGCAUGUGUGCCGUGACAGCCUACAAGACAAGCCGGAUGAUCUUACCGUACGUGUUAACUCACCUGAUGCCGGUACUUAAUUCCUAGGGCGUAGUGUGAAGCUGCCUGGGCUGCAGACUUGCUCGUGGCGUCUUAGUGUCCUCGUAGCCCACAAAGCAUGCUGGUAUUUACUUUUCUGCAGUCUGGGAGAGCCUUGGUAGCCAGUUGCAGGAAGGUGGCGACUGCGGCUUUGUUAUGCCAGGCUAUCUGACUCGCUGUCUGGUUGCGAACCCCUGUUGUGGACCGUAAGUACUAUACGUGUCCUCUGCAAUGGGAGCCUUCACCGUGUUGGGUGGCCCGUGCAGGCCUGGCCCGUGCCUACAAUCCUGUCCUAUGCGUUUGCCUGUUACUGCUAACGGCAAUUCUUCCUUGGACGCUAAAUGGUGCUGGGUCAUGAAACCCGCAAGCAGCGCAGGAGAGAGAUACAAGUCAUAACGAACCGAGCAGUUACACGCCGGGCCACGACUACAGCACACCAACACCUCAAACUCACAAGAACAUGGCGUCCACGCUGUCCCAAGCCCAGGCUAGUCAGCUAUUACUGCUGUGCACACACACACACACACACGGAGUACUGCCUUAUAGCAACAAGUACAGCCCACCCUCGCCAGCAGACUGUCACUGUCCAGCCGACCGGGGCAUCCGAGGCUCUCUCGCACUCGCCGCGUCCCCAGAGCAAUAAGGUGUUUGGGCUACGCCUAGAACAGGCGAUGACCAGAACUUCUUAUGCACUGGACGACCUACAGCCACAGACAGGAAUAAGCCCUUACCCUUGGCCUCAACUAGGAAACGGGACAAACUAGACCAUGCAAGACUGGUGAGGUGCACCCAUCCAACACGACAGCAACUGCGCAACAACUGCGUUCAUGAAGCCUUGAAAGGUCUGUAUCAAUCGCGUUGGGACACGCCCUCGUACUCAAAACAAGCCGCACGUGUAACAGUGACGCCCCAUGCUGGCCCAUGCCCACGCCCAUGC